rnacentral:rRNA from 1 species
GCAUAACGCGAAGAACCUUACCAAGGCUUGACAUAUACGGUCUAUCCCUAGAGAUAGGGAGUGCUUCGGCGCCGUAUACAGGUGGUGCAUGGUUGUCGUCAGCUCGUGUCGUGAGAUGUUGGGUUAAGUCCCGCAACGAGCGCAACCCUCGUUCUAUGUUGCCAGCACGUAAUGGUGGGGACUCAUAGGAGACUGCCGGGGUCAACUCGGAGGAAGGUGGGGAUGACGUCAAAUCAUCAUGCCCCUUAUGUCUUGGGCUUCACGCAUGCUACAAUGGCCGGUACAAAGGGCUGCAAUACCGUAAGGUGGAGCGAAUCCCAAAAAGCCGGUCUCAGUUCGGAUUGAGGUCUGCAACUCGACCUCAUGAAGUCGGAGUCGCUAGUAAUCGCAGAUCAGCAACGCUGCGGUGAAUACGUUCCCGGGUCUUGUACACACCG